CAUCGAUGAAGAACGCAGCGAAAUGCGAUAAGUAAUGUGGAUUGCAGAAUUCAGCGAAUCAUCGAAUCUUUGAACGCACAUUGCGCCCGCCAGCAUUCUGGCGGGCAUGCCUGUUCGAGCGUCAUUUUCAACCCUCGAGCCCUGCUUGGUGUUGGG
rnacentral:rRNA from 1 species